AUCAGCUUCCGCACCAAGCCCAGCCCCACGCCCUCCGCCGACACGCCCACACAGGACGGGCGCAUGCGGCGCGUGCACGCGGCCUUCGCGCGCGACGACGACGACGCCCCGCCCCCCAACAAGGAGAAGCCGGGCGGCGGCCGGAGGACCAGCACCGGCGGCAAAGACCCGGAUAAAGGCAAAAAGGGCGAGGGUGG